GAUGAAGAACGUAGCGAAAUGCGAUAAGUAAUGUGAAUUGCAGAAUUCAGUGAAUCAUCGAAUCUUUGAACGCACAUUGCGCCCCUUGGUAUUCCGAGGGGCAUGCCUGUUCGAGCGUCAUUAUAACCCCUCAAGCACUGCUUGGCGUUGGCGGAUUGCGUGCCCUCGCGGCGCUGCAACCGCCCAAAUACAGUGGCGGUCCCGCUGCGGCUCCCUUUGCGUAGUAACUCACCUCGCACUGGACCGGGCGGCGGCCUGCCGUAAAACCCCAACUCACGAAAUGUUGACCUCGGAUCAGGUAGGAAUACCCGCUGAACUUAAGCAUAUCAAUAAGCGGAGGA
rnacentral:misc_RNA from 1 species